rnacentral:rRNA from 1 species
UGGGGGAUAUUGCACAAUGGGGGAAACCCUGAUGCAGCAACGCCGCGUGAGGGAAGAAGGUUUUCGGAUUGUAAACCUCUGUCCUAUGGGACGAUAAUGACGGUACCAUAGGAGGAAGCUCCGGCUAACUACGUGCCAGCAGCCGCGGUAAUACGUAGGGAGCGAGCGUUGUCCGGAAUUACUGGGUGUAAAGGGUGCGUAGGCGGCUUAACAAGUCAGGCGUGAAAUCUAUGGGCUUAACCCAUAAACUGCGCUUGAAACUGCUAAGCUUGAGUGAAGUAGAGGCAGGCGGAAUUCCCGGUGUAGCGGUGAAAUGCGUAGAGAUCGGGAGGAACACCAGUGGCGAAGGCGGCCUGCUGGGCUUUAACUGACGCUGAAGCACGAAAGCGUGGGUAGCAAACAGGAUUAGAUACCCUGGUAGU